AGAACUUAGCAGAGAUGCUUUGGUGCCUUCGGGAACUCUGAGACAGGUGCUGCAUGGCUGUCGUCAGCUCGUGUUGUGAAAUGUUGGGUUAAGUCCCGCAACGAGCGCAACCCUUAUCCUUUGUUGCCAGCGGCUCGGCCGGGAACUCAAAGGAGACUGCCGGUGAUAAACCGGAGGAAGGUGGGGAUGACGUCAAGUCAUCAUGGCCCUUACGGCCAGGGCUACACACGUGCUGCAAUGGCGCAUACAAAGAGAAGCGACCUCGCGAGAGCAAGCGGACCUCAUAAAGUGCGUCGUAGUCCGGAUUGGAGUCUGCAACUCGACUCCAUGAAGUCGGAAUCGCUAGUAAUCGUAGAUCAGAAUGCUACGGUGAAUACGUUCCCGGGCCUUGUACACACCGCCCGUCACACCAUGGGAGUGGGUUGCAAAAGAAGUAGGUAGCUUAACCUUCGGGAGGGCGCUUACCACUUUGUGAUUCAUGACUGGGGUGAAGUCGUAACAAGGUAGGCGUAGCGAG
rnacentral:rRNA from 1 species